CAUAUAUUUAGAGUUGUUUAUUUCAUGUGCAUGAAUGUUUUGUUUCUGCAUCAUGUGUGUGCCCGGUCCCCAUGGAGGUGAGAACAGGGCAUCAGAUCCCCUGGAACCAUUGUAGAUGGCUGUGAGCCACCUUGUGGGUGCUGGGGAACAAGCUCACAGGUAUACUUACAUGCUGAGCCCUCUCAGCAGUCCUCUGUUUUUCCCUUUAGGUGCCAGCUUCUCCUGGCUUCCAUAUCUGUAGCACAGUGCUGCUUGAAAGAAUGAAGAAUUUCACCCAUAUUCAAGGGAGAAGGGCUCGAGCCCUUACAUUUGAAAGUCAAGAGAGUAGAAAAUCGAAUUAGAAGAACAGGAGGAUGGAAGAUAAUUUUCUGCAGUCACUGGAAGAAAAUACCUUCUCCCAUGUCAUUUCUGUUUACCACCUCCCCAAUCCAACCUAAUCCUUGACCUAUAAGUCAGAGAGCUUCCCCUGGUCAAGGCUCCUUCGAUGGCUUUUUCUUUUCCUCUUGCCUGUGUUAUCCGCUGUCUGGAACUUGAUCCUAGCCCAUAAUCAUGAACUCCCCUCCUUCAAUUUUUUCAUGGCCGCCAUUUCCCCUUUCAAUUACCCUGCUGUAAUUUUCUUUCUCAUCCCCCCUCAACUUAUUGAGGCGUGAUUCACUGUCCCCAUAAUCUCCUGCCUUCCUUGUCCUCUACUUUCCUGGGUAUUUUUCUUAAGCUUGUGAAUGUUUUUCUAUUACUCAAAACUCAUAGGGCCUUUUGCUUAUUUGUUUUGGGAGACAAGAUCUCAGGUAGCUCAGGUUGGCUUUAAAUUCACUAUGCUGCUGAAGAUGACUGAGUUCCUGUCUUCCUGCCUCUGCCUUCCAAGUCCUAAUAUAUACAUACAUAUUACCAUGCUUGGCUACCCACCCCAGGGGAAGUUUUCAAAGCUCUCAUACCCUACAAUAUUUCUGUAUUAUUUUAUACUAGUGACAUCGGUAUAUUUGUAUAAUGGAGCUAAUUAAUAUGAACUUUCUGAAGAGCCUUUCUUUUUUCUAUCCCCACUUUUUUUUUUUUAAGUUUCCAUAUGUAGUCUAGGAUGUCCUUGAACUCACAAUCUUUCUGCCUCAGACUCCCAAGUGCUAGGAUUACAGGUAUGUAUGCAUGCCCUGCUCUUGUCCUCAGAAUAUUUUCCUCAUCAGAGGGGCUCAUCCACUAUCUCCAGUUUUGACUUUUCCCCAUGUUUUUAAGACCCAUCUCUGUAAAAUCUUUCUCAAUUUUUCUGUCUCUGCUAUCUGUUUUUUGUGGCUAUUAAAAAACAUUAGGUAGGGCUGGAGAGAUGGCUCUGUGGUUAAGAGCACUUGUUGCUAUUGUAGAGAAACCAGGUUUGGUUCCCAGCAUCUACAUGAUGGUUCACAACUAUUGGUAAUUCCAGUUCCAGGGGCUCCAGCUCUUCUGGCCUCCAAAGGCACAGGCAUGCACAUAGCAUGCGCGCACACACACACACACACACACACACACACACACACACACACACACACAGGUAAAAUGCUCAAAUACAUAAAAUAAAGACAAAUCUUAACAGCAACAACAACAAAACAAGUUAGGCUCAUAAGAAUCCUUUCUAGUCUGUACCUUAACUGUGAGUUUGGACAGAAUAACAGAUUUGGAUUUGAGUUUUAUUAUACAAAUCUCAACUUAACCCAGUAUCUUGACACAGCAGAUACCUCACAAACCCUGACAGCUAGAAGUCUAAGACAUGGCUAUAUGGUGUGGUUGUGGCUUAGGCUAUCUUAUGAUGGUACAAUCCAAGUGUUAGGAUAGCCUUAGUCAUUUCUUGAUAGCCCUCUUCUAAGUUCAUUCACAUGAGUGCUGACUGGAUUGCAGUUCCUUGCCGUUCAGUCCCUCUUUGUAGGAUUAUUCAUGACACGAUUUUCCUUCAGUAGAGAGAAGAAGGAGUAAAUGAAGCCAAUACCAAAGGCACAACCUCAAGAGAUAUGAGGAUUCAUGGCUGUCCUACUCCAGAAUGCUACAGGAAGAAAGGGCAAUGACCAUACAGCAUGGAUUCAGAAGACUCUGAGUUUCAACCUUGCACCAAAACCAAAUGAUCAAAUAAGUCAGCACAGAGCCAGUGUUCUAAGACAACACAGAUUUAUCAUCCUGCAGUUUGGAAGGUCAGAAGUCUGUGGUGGGUUUCUUGGGUGUUAAUCAGCCUGUUAGUAGGCUGCCUUCCUUCUGGAGGCUUCAGGGAAGAAGCCCUUUCCUUAACUUCCCUGGCUAGUAGAGGUAACCCACAUUCCUUGGCUCAUGGUCACAUCACUCUGACCAUCUGGACUCUGUGACUCGGAGUCUUUUGCCUUCCUUUCACUCUCCAGGCCCCUUGUUAUUACACCAUGCCCAUCGAGAUCAUCCAGUGCAGCACAGCAUCUCCAUUCCUUAAUUAUUUCUGCAAGUUUCCUUUUGUGACACCAUAGAACACAUCCUUGGUGUCUCAGAUAGGGUUUCCAUUGCUGCAAUGAGACACCAUCACCAAAAAGCAAGUUCAUCAUUGAAGGAGGUCAGGACAGGAGCUUGAACAGGGCAGGAACCUGGAGGCAGGAGCUGAUGCAGAGACCACCGAAGGCUGCUGCUUACUGGCUGGUUUUAUAUGGCUUGCUCAGCAUGCUUUCUUGAAGGAUCUAGGACCACCAGCCCAAGGAUGGCACCACAUCUACCAUGUUCUGGGAUCUCUGCCUUAAAUCACUAAUUAAGAAAAUGCCCUUCAGGCUUGCCUGCACAUCCUGAACUUAUGGAGACAUUUUGUAAUUGAGGUUCCCUCCUCUCAGAUGGCUUUAACUUAUGCCAAGUUGACAUAAAACCACCCAGCACACUUGGGAUAUGAGUAUUAACAGAUAGACAAUUUUCUAGAUUGAGUGGCACAUUACUGUGGAAGGACUUCAAAAAUUUAAAAUAGAGCAGCACCAUUGAGAGUCCCAUUUUGCUAUUACUUGAUUGUUUUGGAGAAAAAUAUCUCAUGUGACCCAAGGUAGCCUCAAAUGCAUUACAUAGAUACGGUAGCCUUGAACUCAUGAUCCUCCUGUCUCUGCCCUUCAAGUGAUAAGAUUACAAAUGUGUUCUGUCACCUCUGGUUAGAGUCACCUUUGAAAACCAACACACAACAUAGUGAAGGUAUUUAAAAUAAUUUUUAAAAGAUUGUUUGUAGGAAAGCAGACCUAUACCAUCACCUGUUUAAUGUUUUAAUUACUGAUGAAAUCAAGUCCAGGGAAAGAAAAAAGAGAAAACAAGAUUCAUAUUGGUAGCACACAAACACUUGGGGGUGACAGGCAGACUCAAAUGCUAGAGCUUGAACAUUCUAUUCUCCUGGUCACUAUAUACAAGCUUUAGUGCACAAAGUCACCUAAGAGGCUGGUGAGAUGCACCAGUGCAUGUGUUGGUGGCAGUGUUUACCCAGAUGGUUGAUGGGGGGUGGAGAAUACCCACCUUGGAUGUGAAUGACUCCAUCCCCUAAGCUGGAGAGCACCACAGUUCUCUUCUUUCCCUGCUUCCUGUCUGACAUGAUGUGAACUGCUUUACUCUGCCAUUGCCUUCCUACCACGAGGGCCUGACACCUCUGAAACAGUGAGACAAACUAAAUCUCACCUUGUUCAUGUCAGAUAUAUCUCCAUAGUGACUGGGAGUGACACAUUGCUGUGUUUGCAUGUCAAGUUGAUGAGGCCCAUGGGCAAGCCUGUCUCUCUGGUAAGAACAUAACACUGUGAUAAAGACUUUUAGUGACCCCGGAACUGAGUACUAGAAUAUGUAGCAUGGUUCAUAAGAUUGGUCGAUAUUUUAUAGGAACAAUGGGAGCCAUUCAGUUAAGAAAAGCCUAUCUGAGCCCUGGGAGAUUCACAAUGAACUUCUGCAGGCCAAAGGCAGUGGGCAGCUGUCAACGUUGUUUAACUUGGAUUAAUCCAGCAUUUCUCAAAUUUACUUCAUU
ensembl:lncRNA